rnacentral:rRNA from 1 species
CCUACGGGUGGCAGCAGUGGGGAAUAUUGCACAAUGGGGGAAACCCUGAUGCAGCGACGCCGCGUGAAGGAUGAAGUAUUUCGGUAUGUAAACUUCUAUCAGCAGGGAAGUAAAUGACGGUACCUGACUAAGAAGCCCCGUCUAACUCCGUGCCAGCAGCCGCGGUAAUACGGAGGAUGCGAGCGUUAUCCGGAUUUAUUGGGUUUAAAGGGUGCGUAGGCGGAAUAUCAGGUCAGCGGGAAAAAUUCGGGGCUCAACCCCGUAGUGCCGUUGAAACUGAUGUUCUUGAGUGGGCGAGAAGUAUGCGGAAUGCGUGGUGUAGCGGUGAAAUGCAUAGAUAUCACGCAGAACUCCGAUUGCGAAGGCAGCAUACCGGCGCCCAACUGACGCUGAAGCACGAAGGCGUGGGUAUCGAACAGGAUUAGAUACCCGUGUAGUC